UUGUCUCAAAGAUUAAGCCAUGCAUGUCUCAGUACAAACUAAAUUAAAGUGAAACCGCGAAAGGCUCAUUAAAUCAGUUAUGGUUCCUUAGAUCGUACCACAAUUACUUGGAUAACUGUGGUAAUUCUAGAGCUAAUACAUGCAAACAGAGUUCUAACCGGAGACGGGAGGAAUGCUUUUAUUAGAUCAAAACCAAUUGUGUCGUCCCUAUGGCUCCAUAUGAUUCUGUAUCAUUUGCAUACGUUCAUAUGUCCUUGGUGUAUGUACACAUAAUAUAAUUGGUGAAUCUGAAUAACUUGCUGAUCGCAUGGUCUUGUACCGGCGACGCAUCUUUCAAAUGUCUGCCUUAUCAACUUUCGAUGGUAGGAUCUGCGCCUACCAUGGUUGUAACGGGUAACGGGGAAUCAGGGUUCGAUUCCGGAGAGGGAGCUUGAGAAACGGCUACCACAUCCAAGGAAGGCAGCAGGCGCGCAAAUUACCCACUCCCGGCACGGGGAGGUAGUGACGAAAAAUAACGAUACGGGACUCAUCCGAGGCCCCGUAAUCGGAAUGAGUACACUUUAAAUCCUUUAACAAGGAGCAACUGGAGGGCAAGUCUGGUGCCAGCAGCCGCGGUAAUUCCAGCUCCAGUAGCGUAUAUUAAAGUUGUUGCGGUUAAAAAGCUCGUAGUUGAAUUUGUGUCUUGCACUGUCGGUUCAUCGCUGUUUGCGGUGUUUAACUGGCACGUUGUGAGACGUCUUGCCGGAAGGGCAUGGUAUAUGUUUUAUAUAGUGUUCAACAUAAUUGUGACAUUAUAAUGGUUUAUAAUUAUAUGUAGGUGUAAAAGCUUUAUAUAUAUUAUAUUACUUAUUAUAAUUGUUUACGUUAUGCUUGACCUUAUUAAAACGUAUACGUAGUCCGACUUUUUUAUAAAAAUCCUGUCUAGGUGCUCUUAAUUGAGUGUCGUGGCGGGCCGGCACGUUUACUUUGAACAAAUUAGAGUGCUUAAAGCAGGCUUAUGUUGCCUGAAUAUAGUGUGCAUGGAAUAAUGAAACAGGACCUCGGUUCUAUUUUGUUGGUUUUCUGAACUGAACGAGGUAAUGAUUAAUAGGGACAGAUGGGGGCAUUCGUAUUGCGACGUUAGAGGUGAAAUUCUUGGACCGUCGCAAGACGAACUUAAGCGAAAGCAUUUGCCAAAGAUGUUUUCAUUAAUCAAGAACGAAAGUCAGAGGUUCGAAGGCGAUCAGAUACCGCCCUAGUUCUGACUAUAAACGAUGCCAGCUAGCGAUCGGCCGAAGUUCCUCCGAUGACUCGGUCGGCAGCUUCCGGGAAACCAAAGCCUUUGGGUUCCGGGGGAAGUAUGGUUGCAAAGCUGAAACUUAAAGGAAUUGACGGAAGGGCACCACCAGGAGUGGAGCUUGCGGCUUAAUUUGACUCAACACGGGAAACCUCACCAGGCCCAGACACCGGAAGGAUUGACAGAUUGAGAGCUCUUUCUUGAUUCGGUGGGUGGUGGUGCAUGGCCGUUCUUAGUUGGUGGAGCGAUUUGUCUGGUUAAUUCCGAUAACGAGCGAGACUCUAGCCUGCUAAAUAGACGUAUAAACUCGAUUUUACGAUCGAGAGUCCGGUAUUCCGAGGGUUGUCCUUCGACUACUGGCCAUUGUUUGUUUGGUUUAAUAUGAAUUGGAUUGGCAUAUUUAGUGUAUUAUAUGUAAGGGGUAAAACUUUUAUAUAUUGCAUGACAACAAUGUAACUAGUUGUUUGUUGGCAAUCUUUACUACCGGCGUUAAUUUGUAUCUUCUUAGAGGGACAGGCGGCUUCUAGCCGCACGAGAUUGAGCAAUAACAGGUCUGUGAUGCCCUUAGAUGUUCUGGGCCGCACGCGCGCUACACUGAAGGAAUCAGCGUGUCUUCCCUGUCCGAGAGGUCCGGGUAAUCCGCUGAAACUCCUUCGUGCUAGGGAUUGGGGCUUGCAAUUAUUCCCCAUGAACGAGGAAUUCCCAGUAAGCGCGAGUCAUAAGCUCGCGUUGAUUACGUCCCUGCCCUUUGUACACACCGCCCGUCGCUACUACCGAUUGAAUGAUUUAGUGAGGUCUUCGGACCGGUACUCGGCCGACGUUUCGACGUCGCCGACGCUGCUGGGAAGAUGACCGAACUUGAUUAUUU
rnacentral:rRNA from 1 species